AGAGUUUGAUCCUGGCUCAGAUUAAACGCUGGCGGCAUGCCUUACACAUGCAAGUCGAACGGCAGCACGGGGGCAACCCUGGUGGCGAGUGGCGGACGGGUGAGUAAUACAUCGGAACGUAUCCUGGAGUGGGGGAUAACGUAGCGAAAGUUACGCUAAUACCGCAUAUUCUGUGAGCAGGAAAGCAGGGGAUCGCAAGACCUUGCGCUCUGGGAGCGGCCGAUGUCGGAUUAGCUAGUUGGUGGGGUAAAGGCCUACCAAGGCGAUGAUCCGUAGCGGGUCUGAGAGGAUGAUCCGCCACACUGGGACUGAGACACGGCCCAGACUCCUACGGGAGGCAGCAGUGGGGAAUUUUGGACAAUGGGCGCAGGCCUGAUCCAGCCAUGCCGCGUGAGUGAAGAAGGCCUUCGGGUUGUAAAGCUCUUUCGGCGGGGAAGAAAUUGCACGGGUUAAUACCCUGUGUAGAUGACGGUACCCGAAUAAGAAGCACCGGCUAACUACGUGCCAGCAGCCGCGGUAAUACGUAGGGUGCAAGCGUUAAUCGGAAUUACUGGGCGUAAAGCGUGCGCAGGCGGUUUGGUAAGUCAGAUGUGAAAUCCCCGGGCUCAACCUGGGAACUGCGUUUGAGACUGUCAAGCUGGAGUUUGGCAGAGGGGGGUGGAAUUCCACGUGUAGCAGUGAAAUGCGUAGAGAUGUGGAGGAACACCGAUGGCGAAGGCAGCCCCCUGGGCCAAUACUGACGCUCAUGCACGAAAGCGUGGGGAGCAAACAGGAUUAGAUACCCUGGUAGUCCACGCCCUAAACGAUGUCAACUAGGUGUUGGGAGGGUUAAACCUUUUAGUGCCGUAGCUAACGCGUGAAGUUGACCGCCUGGGGAGUACGGCCGCAAGGCUAAAACUCAAAGGAAUUGACGGGGACCCGCACAAGCGGUGGAUGAUGUGGAUUAAUUCGAUGCAACGCGAAAAACCUUACCUACCCUUGACAUGUCAGGAAUCCUGGAGAGAUUCGGGAGUGCUCGCAAGAGAACCUGAACACAGGUGCUGCAUGGCUGUCGUCAGCUCGUGUCGUGAGAUGUUGGGUUAAGUCCCGCAACGAGCGCAACCCUUGUCAUUAAUUGCCAUCAUUGAGUUGGGCACUUUAUGAGACUGCCGGUGACAAACCGGAGGAAGGUGGGGAUGACGUCAAGUCCUCAUGGCCCUUAUGGGUAGGGCUUCACACGUCAUACAAUGGUCGGUCCAGAGGGUUGCCAACCCGCGAGGGGGAGCCAAUCUCAGAAAGCCGAUCGUAGUCCGGAUCGCAGUCUGCAACUCGACUGCGUGAAGUCGGAAUCGCUAGUAAUCGCGGAUCAGCAUGUCGCGGUGAAUACGUUCCCGGGUCUUGUACACACCGCCCGUCACACCAUGGGAGCGGGUUCUGCCAGAAGUAGUUAGCCUAACCGCAAGGAGGGCGAUUACCACGGCAGGGUUCGUGACUGGGGUGAAGUCGGAA
rnacentral:rRNA from 1 species